GAUGAAGAACGUAGCGAAAUGCGAUACUUGGUGUGAAUUGCAGAAUCCCGUGAACCAUCGAGUCUUUGAACGCAAGUUGCGCCCGAAGCCAUUAGGCCGAGGGCACGCCUGCCUGGGCGUCACACGUCGUUGCCCCCCCAUCUACUCCUUCGGGAUUGCGGGGGGCGGAUGAUGGCCUCUCGUGCGCCUCGUCGCGCGGUUGGCCUAAAUGCCAAGUCCUCGGCGACGCACGCCACGACAUUCGGUGGUUGCGAAACCUCGGUUGCCUGUCGUGUGCGGUCGUCGCGCAUCGAGGGCUCGAAAAAAUUGCCGGGCUUCGGCUCGACUUUCAACGCGACCCCAGGUCAGGCGGGGUUACCCGCUGAAUUUAAGCAUAUCAAUAAGCGGAGGA
rnacentral:misc_RNA from 1 species